rnacentral:rRNA from 1 species
UAGGGAAUCUUCGGCAAUGGACGGAAGUCUGACCGAGCAACGCCGCGUGAGUGAAGAAGGUUUUCGGAUCGUAAAGCUCUGUUGUAAGAGGAGAACGAGUGUGAGAGUGGAAAGUUCACACUGUGACGGUAUCUUACCAGAAAGGGACGGCUAACUACGUGCCAGCAGCCGCGGUAAUACGUAGGUCCCGAGCGUUGUCCGGAUUUAUUGGGCGUAAAGCGAGCGCAGGCGGUUAGAUAAGUCUGAAGUUAAAGGCUGUGGCUUAACCAUAGUAGGCUUUGGAAACUGUUUAACUUGAGUGCAAGAGGGGAGAGUGGAAUUCCAUGUGCAGCGGUGAAAUGCGUAGAUAUAUGGAGGAACACCGGUGGCGAAAGCGGCUCUCUGGCUUGUAACUGACGCUGAGGCUCGAAAGCGUGGGGAGCAAACAGGAUUAGAUACCCUGGUAGUCCACGCUGUAAACGAUGAGUGCUAGGUGUUAGACCCUUUCCGGGGUUUAGUGCCGUAGCUAACGCAUUAAGCACUCCGCCUGGGGAGUACGACCGCAAGGUUG